GGGAAGCCAAUUUUUUUUUCUCUCUGCUUCCGUUGACUUUGUGGCGGGUCAGAGCGGCUUCUAAGGAGCUCACAAGAGAUGAGGAACGGCCCAUGAGUCUAACGUCGGGAAGCAGAUUGCCUGCCUGGUUUAGAAGAGGAAGGAGCUUCUGGAUCCUUGGAUGCUAUCGAUCUUUCGAUACUAAUUAAGGAAAAUAUUAGCCUACUUUUGGGGCAGGAAGCACUCCUUUUGGCAUCUUCUGACGACGACGACGCUGAGUUUUUAGUCAACCAUUGAAAAAUAUAUGGAGCAGUAAGUAGAACAGGUCUCCAUCCAUCACUGACUAAGGGACAGAGGGAAUUUGAAGGAUGUUAUAGAGUUAGUGUACAAAGCCCUCUCUCUCUCUCNNNNNNNNNNNNNNNNNNNNAGUAGUAGUAGUAGUAGUAGUAGUAGUAGUACGUACUACUACUCUCUCUCUCUCUCUCUCUCUCUCUCUCUCUCUCUCUCUCUCUCUCUCUCUCUCGCUCUCUCUCUCUCUCUAUCAAUAAACUUCUGGUGUCUUCACCUGAAUAAACUGUCUAGCGGAUAUUUUGCUCAAAAUUAGUCAACCCAUACGAUCCAAACAUAUGUAGUGUAGCCCAAGUAGAUAAUCGACCUAAAAUAAUGGUACAAGGGAUUCGGCAUUGCAAAUGCAAUGAAGAAAAUAAAGAAUAUUACCAUGACAGGUAAUAUAAUACGAAUUUACUUACCCAGAAUA
rnacentral:lncRNA from 1 species